rnacentral:rRNA from 1 species
AAACUUUCAACAAUGGAUCUCUUGGCUCUCGCAUCGAUGAAGAACGCAGCGAAAUGCGAUAAGUAAUAUGAAUUGCAGAAUUCCGUGAAUCAUCAAAUUUUUGAACGCAAAUUGCACUUCUUAGUAUUCCGAGGAGUACACAUGCUUGAGGGUCAGUU